CUGUUGCCAGCUAGUUGAGCCGGCGUUGCUUUCCGCCCGCAGAUCGUCGAUCAGCAGCGACCGGUCAAAAACAGGGUGUUGCUUCCUUCGCUAUCUGCCGCCGCCUCACGCUGGUCCAGCUGAAGCAGCACAGAUAAACAAUUGAUACCGCAUUAAGGCGUUCGCAGAGGCCAGCCAAAGUUAAACGGCGGCAACCUGGAGGGGAGUAAUCCCACUCCGACGUAAACAUACGGUUCUAUGUGAAACGUUCCCGCUGCUCUCCUCCUUGAACCUCUGCUGCACUAAAGGUGACAUAUUGCACUUCCUUCAACAGGUUAGGAUAAAUCUCUGGCCUACACAAAACAUGACAAUUACCUUUUUACACUUGCAUGUGAAAAUGGCUGCAAACAGAAGCACAAUUAUACAGCCGUACAACUUGGAGAAGCAGAAGUGGAUCCUCCUGCACAAUCAACAAGAAUGCAAAAAGUGGCUCCUGGCCGUUAACAACAGCAGAA